UACAGAGACUGCAAGCGUUAUUCGGAUUCACUGGGCGUAAAGGGUGCGCAGGCGGCCGGGUGUGUCAGAUGUGAAAUCCCGAGGCUUAACCCCGGAACUGCGUCUGAAACUACUCGGCUAGAGUAUUGGAGAGGGUAACGGAAUUCACGGUGUAGCAGUGAAAUGCGUAGAUAUCGUGAGGAACACCAGAGGCGAAGGCGGUUACCUGGACAAUUACUGACGCUCAGGCACGAAAGCAUGGGGAGCAAAAGGG
rnacentral:rRNA from 1 species